rnacentral:rRNA from 1 species
CCUACGGGUGGCAGCAGUGGGGAAUAUUGGACAAUGGGGGCAACCCUGAUCCAGCCAUGCCGCGUGUGUGAAGAAGGCCCUCGGGUUGUAAAGCACUUUCAGUGAGGAAGAACGCCUGGUGGUUAAUACCCAUCAGGAAAGACAUCACUCACAGAAGAAGCACCGGCUAACUCCGUGCCAGCAGCCGCGGUAAUACGGAGGGUGCGAGCGUUAAUCGGAAUUACUGGGCGUAAAGCGCACGUAGGUGGCUUGAUAAGCCGGUUGUGAAAGCCCCGGGCUCAACCUGGGAACGGCAUCCGGAACUGUCAAGCUAGAGUGCAGGAGAGGAAGGUAGAAUUCCCGGUGUAGCGGUGAAAUGCGUAGAGAUCGGGAGGAAUACCAGUGGCGAAGGCGGCCUUCUGGACUGACACUGACACUGAGGUGCGAAAGCGUGGGUAGCAAACAGGAUUAGAUACCCGAGUAGUC